GGGUGAUGUUUGACAAAAGCAUUCAGUAAUGCUUGAUAUUUUAACGACUGCUGCUGCUCCCUCCUUGGCCCUUGCCCCUUUGAGCGUGCGAUGCUGCCGCUUUGCACAAAUGGGGCUUCCAUGGGAAAGAGUGGGAAAAUCCCAAAGCUCACACACGUUCCUGGCUUCCUUUACAUCCCUGCUCUCCACAGAUGAAGCAAAACAAAACAAAACAAAGGAGCCACGGUGGCUGGGGCUGCUUGUAAUUUUAACGAGGUUGCACCUUCAAAGGAGCAUCCGUUGCUGCGCCGCGGAGAGCCGCACGCGCUGCUCAGAAGCGCCUCAGCAGAAGCAGCCUCUGAACCUCUGACAGCUUUCACUGCACAUGGCAGAGAUCAGCUGAAAAGAUGAACGAGCCAUCUUCAAAGCCAGAAUUGCUCAGGAAGCAUUUGCUCUUGCCUUAUUACUGGAGAACUCUCCGGGUCAGAUACUUUUAUUGGGAGAGAACUUUCAUUGCUUUGGCUGUUUUGUUCCUGCUUCUGGACGUGCCAGUCUAAUGACGUGACUGAUGUCUCCCACCUUGAUAGACGUCAAUAAAAAUAGAUGGAGGAGGACUCAGGGAUGCCUGAGAUUGGUCUUGAAAAUGGAGGCUCAAGCUGCUCCCUGCAUCACAGAAUGAAGACAGCACUGCAGUGGGUGCAAAGUGUGUUCCCUCUCUCUCACUGCCUACAUGGAGAAGCAUAGGCCCACUGUGGUUGCUGAAUGAUGGCAAGGUGCUGCCUGGCAUUGUUGGAGUUUAUCUUUCCCAGAUUUUGUGUAUGGACUCUUGCAGCAUUUUUUCAUUUCUCUUCCCAUCCUCGCUCUUUCCCUUUGAGUCAAAUGGACAAUUAAAUGGAAAUUUAUUCUGUAAACACAACCCUGUUAGGCCUGAAGCCUGGGGGAUCAGAGCAGGCUAUAAUUACAGAGGGACACCUUUAGGUGUGAACUGCUGUGUGCUGAAAUAGCAGAUAGCAGCCCUUAGCAAGCUGGGUGAGCAGGUUCCUAAUGCUGGGGAUCAGAAAUGGGCCGGGUCCUCUUAUCACAGAAGCCCAUUUAGGAGACAAGCAUUGCACAUCUGUUGCUU
ensembl:lncRNA